rnacentral:lncRNA from 1 species
GUUGGUACAGUGCUCUUUGUCAAAUUUGCUAAUCUAUUUGCAGUGAUGAAGAUGUAAUUAAGUCUAAGCAAUCUAAAAUGAAUUAAGAGUACAGUAGCCAAAGCAAAACCCGGAUAUGACGCACAAAUUUUACUGGUCUGAUUUCUCCAAACUAAAUGGAUGGUACAUCAACAUCAUAUAUCUCUCUGAAGCUGUGUCGCAGAGCUUGGUCACUUCUUGGGAUGAUAAUAAGGGUAAAUGGUGAAGAAGGCCUGGAUAACUGUAAGAACUAGGAGAAUGAAAGCAGUGGCAGCCGAAAUGAAAGACCAAGGGAUGCCGAAGUACUCGCGCUUGAUUCCUGCCCACCGCAUGCGCCACUUGUUCCGACG